rnacentral:rRNA from 1 species
UGCUACUAGAGCCUGGGCCUGUUGCGCAUUAGCUAGUUNGUGGGGUAACGGCCCACCAAGGCGACGAUCGUAUCCGACCUGAGAGGGUGAACGGCCACACUGGGACUGAUACACGGCCCAAACUCCUACGGGAGGCAGCAGUAUGGAAUCUUCCGCAAUGGGCGAANGCCUGACGGAGCAACNCCGCAGUGAGUGAUGAAGUUUUCGGAUCGUAAAGCUCUGUUGCCGAGGGAAGAACGUCCGGUAGAGUAACUGUCUACACGGAGUGACGCGUACCUGAGAAGAAGACGCCCCGCGUCGUAAUCUACGUGCCACGCAGACCGCGGUAAUAUCGCUAUCGUGGUGCAAUGCGUUGUCCGGAAUUAUUGAGGCUGUAAAGCGCGCUGCAGGCUGCUGUUUAAUUCUGGCUGUUUAAACCUGGGUCUCAACCUGNGCGCUCGCACUGGCACAUAUCUGGGAUGGCUUGAUUACGAAGCACAGGAGCGACAACGCUGGGACAGUUCCCACGGUGUANNGGGGUUAACAUGCGGUANACGAAUGGUGGUAGUCGAACACCCACGUGGCGAAGUGCGACUUUCUUGGUGCUGGUAACGUGACAAGCUCAGAGCGGCUGAAAAGCGUUGGGUGGUAUGCGAAUACCGCGAUUUAUAUACCCCUNNCUAGUCCACGCCCGUAGACGAAUAAAGUNCUACGGUUGUUCAGGGGUUUCUNCCUUCCCUUUUGUGUCCGAAAGUUUAACCCGAGGUAAAGCACUCCNCCUGGGGGAAGUAACGGUCGGAAGACCUGACACUCCCAGGGGAACCUUGACGGGGACCGGUUAAGCCCGUGGAGGUUUAUGGUUAAAUUUAAGGCAACGGGAAGAACCUUACCAGGUCUUGAAUNCACGAACGAAGGCNGAGCAUCCUUUGUUCCCUCGGGGAAAGUAUGAAACAG